UCCCUAGUGGCCCAGUCGGUUAGAGCGUCGUACUUAUAAUGCGAAGGUCGAGAGUUCGAUCCUCUCCUAGGGAA